ACCCAGUUUUAAAAAAAAAGGGCGGGGGGGAUUGUGCUCAAUAAGGAGGGUAUUUGGAGAAUUUUGCGCUCUGCUUCCCAUGGAGCAAACCCUCGGGGUAGCAGCUCCUCCGUCACCAGCUGUGGGGAAAGCAUCAGGGCUGCAGGUGGGACCUCAUCACCUGGCUCCCAAGGUGACCAGGGCAGGUAAGCGGGGGAGGAAUAGGUCUCUGUCCUGAAAGCAGCACAGGCUCAGGGAAGGGACGGCGUGAGGGAAGCGCGGCCUCCGCCUCAAGCCUGGACUUCCUCCUGCCGCGGAUGCAGCCGGGCCACCCUGGCGUGGGCUGCAGACCAGAGCCACUGGCCCGGCCCCGUCUCCCUUCAGCCAGGAGGCACGAAAUGGUCUUUGAAAGUUAAAAAAAAAAAAAAAAAGUUAGUGUGAGCAAAAUUUUUAGACAAAAGCCCAAGGGCAUUUCCUCCCUCUAAAUAUCUUUGGCCUAUUUCCUUUUUCUGUACUUUUUGAUCAUGACUCAAAGCAAGAAGAGAAACUGAAGCUGCCUUGCCCAGCGGCUGGCUUGGGGCGCGGGGCGCGGGGUUCUCCCCUGCCCACCCGGCCUCUCCUCGGCCUCCCCUUGGGCAGCCACUCUGCCCUCCCUGCCCGAGAGAGAGGCCUCGGGAGGAAGGGGCCGUGUCCCACGGAUCCGGAUUCCCUGGAGAGCGCGGCCAGCGUGGCUGCAGGGCUCGGGCCGGUGGCGGUUGCUGAGCUCCCUGCUCUCCCAUGUGAUGGGAAUCUUGAGCCCUCGGAACAUCAGUUUUCCUUUCUGUGAAAUGGGCGGAGGUUGGGGUUUGACUUUAUCAGACUCCACAUAUAAGUGAUAUCACACAGCACCUGUUUUUGUCUCGUUACCUUGGUAUCUGAACUUUCUGAGCGCUGUUAGCGGAACGUUUGUUCUGAUUUUGAUCCGAGGUCAAGGUCUAGAGUCUGCCCACGGCUCAGGGCGUACCUGUGCAUUCGUACUUCUGAUAAAUCGUGCCAAACUGCUUCUGCACAGUGACCGGACCAGCGUGUACUUCCACAAGCGAUAUCUGGAAAUGGCUGUUUUCCGGAAAGCCUUUAUGAACCUGUUAUAUUUUUCUAGGCUGACGGACUGGCUCAACCUUCCAGGAACUGUUAAAUAAAAGCAGUGAGGGCACCUGGUGGCUCAGCGGCCGUCUGCCUUCAGCCCAGGCCGUGCCCCCGGGGUCCCGGG